UACGUAGGGGGCAAGCGUUGUCCGGAUUUAUUGGGCGUAAAGAGCGUGUAGGCGGUCAGGUAGGUCCGUUGUGAAAACUCGAGGCUCAACCUCGAGACGCCGAUGGAAACCAUCUGACUAGAGUCCGGAAGAGGAGAGUGGAAUUCCUGGUGUAGCGGUGAAAUGCGCAGAUAUCAGGAAGAACACCCGUGGCGAAGGCGGCUCUCUGGAACGGUACUGACGCUGAGACGCGAAAGCGUGGGGAGCGAACAGG
rnacentral:rRNA from 1 species